AUUAUUAAUUUUAGUGACUUAUAGUGCUUUUUACGUAGUUUUCAAAUAUAUAAAUUUUAUUUCAAAAAAAUAAAAGAUUCUAUGUUAAAUCACACGGUCAAACUAAAAAGUUUGACUCUCGAACAGCGAAAAGUGCUAAUUUUUUUGGGACAGAGGGAGUAUAUGUUAAUUUUCAUACCUCAGGAAUAGCUUUCUUUUUUUGGAUCUUUUGUGUUAAUGUAGAUCCACUGAGCGCAUUUUCCUCUGUCAUAUGUUUGAAUCCUGUUUUAAAAUAAAAAAUUGGGGUAUGAUCUUUUUUGGUUUUCACCAAACUAUUCUUUCCGCUGCAUGUGCUGGCUAUUUCUUGAGAUUAAAUAGUGGAAGUAAAUAUUUUGCUCUAAUUCUGUAUUCCAUUUCUCAGUGUUGUUUGCAUGAGCUUUGUGGUGAGUAAAUUUCAACAUUUUCUAUUUUUAAAUUGAGUUUCAUUGCAAAAUUCUUCUUACGACCUUCUUGUGGCAGAUAAUAGUACAUAGAAGUAGAGGCAACGUAACUAGAUCAGUGACAAAGGAUUGGUCGGCAGUUUGCAGUUGAUAAAGGUGAGCUUUUAGCAUUGCACAUGUUGUAUUAUCACCUCAUAAUGCAGCAAAAGUGACAAUUUACAAAAGCCAGACUCUGUUGUCUUGGUAAACUACAGUUAGCUCUUAAAAUACCAAAGGUGAUAAACUUCUUAGAUGUAUAUAAGGCUAAUUCACCAAUUCAUGAUCUUUCAUGUAAUCGCUGAAAGAAGUUAAGCUUCUGCAUCUUGACUAAAGCUUUUUAUGAUGGUAGAAUAUGAUAAGAAAUGCUUGCAUUAUUUGUGAAAUUGAGUAAAUUACUUUAUUUUGGAUUAAUCCAAAUUUAUGAGCGGAAGUUAUCUCUAAAACUAGCUCUUCUCGACAAAGAGAUGGAAAAAAGUAUUGACUAGCUUUUCUCGAUAAGUAGUUUCAUUAGCGUAGAUUUAGGACCAAGCCAAUCUUAAUUAAGAAAAAAGUUGUAUUAAAUAAGGACGGAUACUGGUUGACCGCCUUUUUUAUGAUCUUAUCAGAAGUUCCAUUUGAUAUUUUAUCUAGCUUUCCAUCACAAAUUUUCCUUUAUGCUGAAGUUUGUUGUUCAGCAUUUCAACACCAUAAGUUUCUGGUAAUAGCAUUGUUUACUAUGUUACAUUUUGAGAAAUGACAGCAUUAUGUAUACGGAAACGUCCUAAGUUUCCUUGUGAUUAUCGUUUAAAAUACAUCAUUGACAUUCAAGUUAACAUUUGUGAGGUAUGAGUUAACAUUGCUGUCUAUUUAUUUAAUGCAUUUCCUUUCAGUAGCAAAAAUCGAAAAACAAUUAAACACUGCUGCUCCUUCUAUAUAUAUAUAAUUUCAGUAGAGGUGUAGUUAGAUUCUGUCAGUUAACCAGAUAUUCACCUUGCCUCAUCAUUUUUGCACCAAUUCCACUUCUCACACACCUUAAUUUGUAACUCAUCUUUACUGCACCAAAUAAAAAAGACUGCAUCAUCUACUUUACCAAUUUUUGUUCUUUAAUAGAUUGUAAAUGCAAUGGAUUUUAAAAUUUUAAUACAUGACAUUACCGAAGAUGGAUCUAUUUAGUUGGAAUAUGUGGUUGCACAAUUUUGAAUGCAGGCGCAGGUUUCUGAAGUUGAAAGUCGCUCAAGCGGGGAAAAGGUUACUCUGCUUUGACUAUAACAGAUUUGAUCAAUUUAAUUGAGUUGUGAUAGAGAUUAACUUUGACAAUGAGGGUAAGAAGGUGAAUUCCCAGUUGAUAAAAUUGAGCCUUGACUUGGUCACAUAAUGAGGUAAUUUUUGCCUUCCCUUUGGUGAUGAUCUAGGAUAGUGAUACAUUUGUUUCCUUUCUCUACAGAACUCAUUGACAUCCAGUCUUAAUCCAAGAGAGUAGAGGUCUUAAGAGAAAGUCAUGCGUACAAUAGUGUAAAGAAAGGGCUGAACAGAGAGGAUUUCACUGAACAAUAACACUGGGUACCUUGCAAGAAAAGAACUAGAUAUACAAGGAAAAAGAAGAUUUGCAGUAUUAGGAGGUGAGGAGAUCUCUUUGGUCUACCAAGUCAUUUGUCGAGUGGAUAUAGAAGGUGACUGGCAGAACAUUUGUAUAUCAUAUCUCUUAUCACUUUGAAACAUAAACAGUUAAUUGAGAUUUUGGCAUUUUUGCGGUACCUUAUGGCCUUUUGCUAAAUAUUAUGUGGAGCCAAAAGCACAAAAGAUAGGAGCACCAUCCAUGUAUGAUGAAGAACCAACAAACAUAAAACACUAACUAGGAAAUUUCGGGAGGGUACAUUACACCAAAGGCUUUAAUCAGUAUGCUGUGUGUCCAAAUCCUUUCAGGGUACCUGUUCUGGUCAAUUGCUUAGCAUUUUAUUAAAAGGAAUUCUUGGCUCAGCUUUCUUAUGUGGAGACCCAGCUGAGAUAUGUGUUGCCAACAGCUGUUAAAGUCUAGAUUUCACCCAAUUGUAGCAUAGCUCACGCAAAAGUUGGACCACCUACAUGAACAUUGACAAUCUCACUGUUUUUGUCUUUCUAGCAUGAUAUUUCCUUUUCUUUGGAUAAUGUUACAACACAAUUAGAACCACCAUGAAAUUCUAAUAUUAGAUCUUAUAUGUACAGCGAUGUUGGGGAAAAGCCCGUGCUCAGCACGGGCACAGGCCA